GCCGUCAGGUCCUCGGCCAGCACCCGGCCGCUCGCGGCGGCCAGCGCGACCGGCUCGGUCCCGGUCGGCGGCA
rnacentral:tRNA from 1 species